UACGAAGGGGGCGAGCGUUGUCCGGAGUUAUUGGGCGUAAAGCGCGCGUAGGCGGCGUGUUAAGUGUAGUGUGAAAUCCCCCAGCUCAACUGGGGAGGGUCAUUCCAAACUGGCUUGCUCGAGUAGGGCAGAGGUUACUGGAAUUCCAUGUGUAGCGGUAAAAUGCGUAGAUAUCGUGAGGAACACCAGUGGGGAAGGCAGGUGACUGGACGGAAGCUGACGCUGAGGCGCGACAGCGUGGGGAGCAAACCGG
rnacentral:rRNA from 1 species